GUGGGAUUUAAUACAUGGAAAUAGAGUAGUGUAGUGGUAGAUCUGCUCAAUCUAGGUGUGUCGCUUGUAUUCCAAUUAAAUGAGUUGUGAUUUCUUUGACUGGGCUUUUGGGGGUUGGACAUUUACCAAAAGAAAUUGGUGCCCAACUUGGGGCCUGAACCCAUGACCCUGAGGCAGAACCUUUAACAAAGAAUACAGCAACACAAGGAACAGGAAGAGCAACAAAAAGAAAUAUAUAAAGUGUAGAUACAGACCUUAAGGGAGGAAUUUAAAUUUUCAAUUAAAGAAAAUACUCAGGUAGAGACAGAAGAUAAAAUUAGAGAAAACCAACCAAAGGUUAUUAGGAAACAAACUUUAGUCUACCCAGUUAAUAUACAACAAAGACCCCCAGACGAUGAUUAUCCAUAGGGUUAUCAAGAAUCAGAAUGGCAACCCAUGGAUGUGUUAGAUCUUAGAAAAUUUAAGGAAAGUGUCACUUUGGAAUACAUUCACCAUUUGUAAAAGAAAUCCUGACUUCUUGGGCUAUUAAAAACAGAAUAAUCCCCCAAGACUGAAAGGAUAUGGCAAGAGCAGUACUAGAACCUGCUUCAAAUUUACAAUGGUUCGCAUGGUGGAGAGAGAAGGAGAGGGAGAUAGCAUGACAAAAUAGAGCCAAAGGUAGGGAGAUUUUCACAGACCAGAUGCUUGGUGAAGGCCACUUAGUUGAGGUAAAGGUACAGGGUAUAUAUGAUGAAGAAACUCUGAUAUUGUGUCAAUUGUCAGCCUUAAAGGCCUGGGACAAAGUUACAGAAUCAGGGAAAAGACUUGAAUCAUUUACUCAAGUCAUACAAGGUCCAGAAAAAACAAAAAAACAAAAAACAAAAACAAACAAACAAACAAACAAACAAAAAAACCAAAAAACCUUCCCUGACUUUUUACAAAGGCUAACCUCAGCUAUGAAAAGGAGAAUAUCAGAUUCAUCAACAAGAAAGGUAAUAAUUGAAUCUUUAGCCUUUGAAAAUGCAAAUGCUAAGUACAAGGAAGUAAUCAGACUACUGAGGGUAAGGUCAACAUUAAUAGAUAAGUAGAUUAGAUAUACAGCUGCUGUUAGAUCUAGCAUACCUGAUAUGACUGUAAUAGGAGAAGUAGCCACUAGACACCUAGAGAUGACCCAAGAUUUCAAAUGUUUUAGUUGUGGUAAGCAGGAUUAUCUCAGAAACGACUCAGUGUCUAGCCAUGAAACCUGUCAGGCUCCUAAUAAAAAUUUUAAAUUAGUUAGGGAAUGUUAUCAAAGGCAGUUACAGACUGUCCAAGCUGUCCAUAAACAAGAUACAACCGAGGCUGACAAUUUAAUUCUACACCAAGAAGCCACUGCUGCCAAGACACCAACAGACUUAUCACUAAGUUGGCUGACUGACCAUUCAUCUGGAUUGAUAAAUAGUCUAUGACAAAAUAAAAACUACAGGUAUUAGAACAGCUAGUCCAGGAGCAGCUAGAGGCUCAACAUAUAGAAGUGUCUAUCAGCCCUUAAAAUUCUCCAAUAUUUGUCAUUAAAAAAAUCUGGCAAAUGGAGGAUGUUGACAGAUUUCAGAUUGGUUAAUAAGAUUAUUCAGCCAAUGGGUUCCUUGAAGCCUGGGAUCCCAUUGCCUUCCUUGUUCUCUAAGGAAUGGCCUAUCAUAGUGAUUGAUCUGAAGGAUUGUUUUUUUCACCAUUCCUCUACAUGAAUGUGAUAAGGAAAGGUUUGCUUUCUUAGUGCCUACAUUCAAUAAAGGUCACCCAAUGAAAACAUAUCGUUAAAAAGCCCUGCCAUAGCUGGGCAGUGGUGGAGCAUGUCUUUAAUCCCAGUACUUGGGAGUAAGAGGCAGGUGGAUUUCUGAGUUCGAGGCCAGCCUGGUCUACAAAGUCAGUUCAAGGACAGUCAGGGCUAUACAGAGAAACCCUGUCUCCAAACAAACAAACAAACAAACAAACAAAAAGUCCUGCCAUAAGGAAUGUUAAAUAGCCCUACCUUGUGUCAAUAGUUUGUACAAUAGCCAUUGGAAAUGAUUCACAAGCAAUUUCUCCAAUCCAUUAUUUAUCAUUAUAGAGAUGACAUCUUAUUGACUGAUCCAGAUAAUAUCAUGAAAAAACGUUUGAUGAUGUUAAAGAAAAGCUAACUCCUUUUC
rnacentral:lncRNA from 1 species